GACGGAGGGUGCAAGCGUUGUUCGGAUUGACUGGGCGUAAAGGGCGUGUAGGCGGUCGGUCAAGUCUGGUGUGAAAGCCCGGGGCUCAGCUCCGGAAGUGCAUCGGAAACUAGCUGGCUGGAGCGCGAUAGAGGAGGGCGGAAUUCCUGGUGUAGCGGUGAAAUGCGCAGAUAUCAGGAGGAACGCCAAUGGCGAAGGCAGCUCGCUGGGACGGUACUGACGCUGAGACGCGAAAGCGUGGGGAGCAAACAGG
rnacentral:rRNA from 1 species